GGAGACGUGUCCGAAUUGGCUAAGGGGCCGGUCUCGAAAACCGGUGAGACUCUGUCUCAUGUGGGUUCGAACCCCACCGUCUCCGCCA
rnacentral:tRNA from 1 species